AGAUGUUAAAAGCAAGAGACAUGGGAGAGCAUCAUUCCUUUGAGAUUUUAUAACUCAAACCAACUUUGGAGUUGUCUGAUUUGGAGAGUCAUUACUCUUGGUCUUCGCUCUUAGAGGCCACUGAUGAAGAACAGGCGGUGACUGGGAUGAAUCCUGGUCAGAGAGGAGAAUCUUCUUUCCCCUAAACUGCAGCGGUGGUUUUAAAGGAGGACGCUGCCCUGGAUGAUGUAGAAGAUCUCACAUGCUGUGCAGAUGGGGUUUCUUCAUGAUUACAUCAGUUAUGCUAAAGAGAUCAUGAAAAUUGACCGUGAUGCAUGAUCUGUAUUCAUGGACUAUGAAACAAACUGUAAGUGUAUAAUUUGUUAAAAAAAAAAAAAAGUUAAAUGCUUUUUCUGUGUUGUUUAGUAGAAGAGUUUACACUCUGUCAUUCAUACACCUGCUCACAUUCUUUCACACACACACACACACACACAUGCGUCUGUUAAAUGUUAUAAUAUCAAAGUUAAUGUUGUGAUUUAUUUGUGUACUGUCAUGCCAGAAUAGUUGGAAAAAAACUUAACUAAUUGUAAAUUUAUAAUAUUUGUUUUCGUAUAUUUUAAUACAAUAUAUACAAUUGAACAAAGUCCAAUUUGAUCUUAAGUUAUAUUCAUCAAAUGUUCAAUGCUUUAUGAACUCUGUAGCUGUUAAUGCCAUCCUUUUCUGCAUUUCUUCUAACAUGUUACUUUUUGACUUUUCUCUUGUUUUUAAUAAAUAUUUUCCUUUUGGUAAUUA